UGGGGAAUCUUGCGCAAUGGGCGAAAGCCUGACGCAGCGACGCCGCGUGAGUGAUGAAGGCCUUCGGGUUGUAAAGCUCUGUGGGGAGAGAAGAAUAAGUGCGGGCUAAUACUCCGCAUGAUGACGGUAUCUCCUUAGCAAGCACCGGCUAACUCUGUGCCAGCAGCCGCGGUAAGACAGAGGGUGCAAACGUUGUUCGGAAUUACUGGGCGUAAAGCGAGUGUAGGCGGUUUGGUAAGUCGGAUGUGAAAGCCCCGGGCUCAACCCGGGAAGUGCACUCGAUACUGCCAAGCUAGAGUAUCGGAGAGGUUGGUGGAAUUCUCGGUGUAGAGGUGAAAUUCGUAGAUAUCGAGAGGAACACCGGUGGCGAAGGCGGCCAACUGGACGAAUACUGACGCUGAGACUCGAAAGCGGUAGGGAGCAAACGAGGAUUAGAUACCCUGGUAGUCCACGCCGUAAACGAUGGGUGCGUAGGUGUCGGCGGGCUUUGACUCCUCGG
rnacentral:rRNA from 1 species